AGCUUUGCACAGUGGCAAGUAUCACAGCCAAUGAGGUUUAUCUGAGGCACAACUAUUGCUAAUUGAAAACUUUUUCCAGUACCCUACCACGAUGACUUGCAACAUAGUCAGCAUUAACAAUUUUUGACAGUCUCUACGGAGG
ensembl:snRNA U4 U4 spliceosomal RNA